AGCGAACGCUGGCGGCAGGCCUAACACAUGCAAGUCGAACGAAGUCUUCGGACUUAGUGGCGGACGGGUGAGUAACACGUGGGAACGUGCCUCCUGGUUCGGAAUAACUCAGGGAAACUUGUGCUAAUACCGAAUGUGCCCUUCGGGGGAAAGAUUUAUCGCCUUUAGAGCGGCCCGCGUCUGAUUAGCUAGUUGGUGAGGUAAAGGCUCACCAAGGCGACGAUCAGUAGCUGGUCUGAGAGGAUGAUCAGCCACAUUGGGACUGAGACAGCUCCCAAACUCCUACGGGAGGCAGCAGUGGGGAAUCUUGCGCAAUGGGCGAAAGCCUGACGCAGCCAUGAUUGCGUGAAUGAUGAAGGUCUUAGGAUUGUAAAAUUCUUUCACCGGGGACGAUAAUGACGGUACCCGGAGAAGAAGCCCCGGCUAACUUCGUGCCAGCAGCCGCGGUAAUACGAAGGGGGCUAGCGUUGCUCGGAAUUACUGGGCGUAAAGGGAGCGUAGGCGGACAUUUAAGUCAGGGGUGAAAUCCCGGGGCUCAACCUCGGAAUUGCCUUUGAUACUGGGUGUCUUGAGUGUGAGAGAGGUAUGUGGAACUCCGAGUGUAGAGGUGAAAUUCGUAGAUAUUCGGAAGAACACCAGUGGCGAAGGCGACAUACUGGCUCAUUACUGACGCUGAGGCUCGAAAGCGUGGGGAGCAAACAGGAUUAGAUACCCUGGUAGU
rnacentral:rRNA from 1 species